rnacentral:rRNA from 1 species
AUUGAACGCUGGCGGCAGGCCUAACACAUGCAAGUCGAACGAGUGGCGGACGGGUGAGUAAUGUCUGGGAAACUGCCUGAUGGCGGGGGAUGACUACUGGAAACGGUAGCUAAUACCGCAUACCAUCGGAUGUGCCCAGAUGGGAUUAGCUAGUAGGUGGGGUAAAGGCUCACCAAGGAGACGAUCCCUAGCGGGUCUGAGAGGAUGACCAGCCACACGGGAACUGAGACACGGUCCAGACCCCUACGGGAGGCAGCAGUGGGGAAUAUUGGACAAUGGGCGCAAGCCUGAUGCAGCCAUGCCGCGGGUAUGAAGAAGGCUUUCGGGUUGUAAAGUACUUUCAGCGGGGAGGCGUUACCCGCAGAAGAAGCACCGGCUAACUCCGUGCCAGCAGCCGCGGUAAUAC